rnacentral:rRNA from 1 species
UACGUAGGGUGCGAGCGUUAAUCGGAAUUACUGGGCGUAAAGCGUGCGCAGGCGGUUUGUCAAGUCCGCUGUGAAAUCCCCGGGCUUAACCUGGGAACUGCAUUGGUGACUGGCAGGCUUUGAGUGUGGCAGAGGGAGGUAGAAUUCCACGUGUAGCAGUGAAAUGCGUAGAGAUGUGGAGGAAUACCGAUGGCGAAGGCAGCCUCCUGGGCCAACACUGACGCUCAUGCACGAAAGCGUGGGGAGCAAACAGG